rnacentral:rRNA from 1 species
AGCAGUAGCCGCGGUAAUACGGAGGGUGCAAGCGUUAUCCGGAUUUAUUGGGUUUAAAGGGUCCGUAGGCGGACUUAUAAGUCAGUGGUGAAAGCCUGUCGCUUAACGAUAGAACUGCCAUUGAUACUGUAAGUCUUGAGUAUAUUUGAGGUAGCUGGAAUAAGUAGUGUAGCGGUGAAAUGCAUAGAUAUUACUUAGAACACCAAUUGCGAAGGCAGGUUACCAAGAUAUAACUGACGCUGAGGGACGAAAGCGUGGGUAGCGAACAGGAUUAGAUACCCGUGUAGUCCCUGUCUCUUAUAU